UAGACACUGAUUCAGCUGACCUGUUUGCCA
rnacentral:piRNA from 1 species